rnacentral:tRNA from 1 species
GCGCCUGUAGCUCAAUGGAUAGAGCACCAGACUUCGAAUCUGUAGGUUGGGGGUUCGAGUCCCUCCAGGCGUG